rnacentral:Y_RNA from 1 species
GCCUGGUCCAAUGGUAGUGGGUUAUCAGAACUUACUAACAUUAGUGUCAUUAAAGUUGGUAUACAACCCCCCUCCCACUGCUAAAUUUGACUGGAGAA